UACGUAGGGUGCGAGCGUUAAUCGGAAUUACUGGGCGUAAAGCGUGCGUAGGCGGUUCGCUGUGUCCGAUGUGAAAGCCCCGGGCUUAACCUGGGAAUGGCAUUGGAAACUGGCGGGCUUGAGUGUGGCAGAGGGGGGUGGAAUUCCGCGUGUAGCAGUGAAAUGCGUAGAGAUGCGGAGGAACACCGAUGGCGAAGGCAGCCCCCUGGGUCAAGAUUGACGCUCAUGCACGAAAGCGUGGGGAGCAAACAGG
rnacentral:rRNA from 1 species